AAGGGAAGAGGGGGAGGGUCGUAUUGUUAUAAUUUUUUUUAAUUAGAAAUCUGUGGAAAAUUAUACAAUUAUAACAACACGACCCUCCCCCUCUUCCCUU
rnacentral:pre_miRNA from 1 species